GAUGAACGCUGGCGGCGUGCCUAAUACAUGCAAGUCGAGCGAACAGAUGAGGAGCUUGCUCCUCUGACGUUUGCGGCGGACGGGUGUGUAACACGUGGAUAACCUACCUAUCAUACUGGGAUAACUUCGGGAAACCGGAGCUAAUACCGGAUAAUAUAUUGAACCGCAUGGUUCUAUAGUGAAAGACGGUUUUGCUGUCUCUUAUAGAUGGAUCCGCGCCGCAUUAGCUAGUUGGUAAGGUAACGGCUUACCAAGGCAACGAUGCGUAGCCGACCUGAGAGGGAGAGCGGCCACACUGGAAGUGAGACAGGGACAAGACGACUACGGGAGGGAGAAGUAGGGAAGGGGGCGCAAGGGGCGAAAGGGUGACGGAGCAACGGCGAGGGAGAGAUGAAGGUCUAGGGAUCGGAAAAGUAUGUUAGUAGGGAAGAAGAAAAGGGUAAGUAACGAUGCAGGGAUUGAGGGUACCUAAUGAGAAAGCAACGGCUAACUACGUG
rnacentral:rRNA from 1 species